rnacentral:lncRNA from 1 species
AGUUGCAGAACAUCUUUGUAAGAAUCAGGAUCCUUUUAUCUUUCUGAUUUACCUUUCAAAAAUAUUCACUGCAUGCCUACUCUGGAGGCCCUGGAGAGAAGAGGAUAACCUGCUUUCAAGUUGCUCAAAGUCUAAAUCUGUGCUGUACCUGACAGGUACUGGCUACUUGUGGCUACUGAUUGAACACUCGGAAUGUAUGUAGCUAGGCUGAAAUUAGAUGUGCUGUAAGUGUAAAAUGCGCACUGGAUUUCAAGAAUUAGUACCUCCGAAAUGUAAAAUAUCUCAGCUUUCCUGUUGACUGAAUGUUGAAAUUGAUAUUUUGGAUAUAUUGGGAUAAGUAUAAUAUUAUUAAAUUAAUUUUACUUGUUCCUUUUAAAGCAGCUUCUAGAGUUUUUUAAAUACAUAAUGGCUCACAUUAUAUUUCUUUUGGACAGUGCUAGUCUAGAUUAAUAAUUAAGAAAGUUUGAUUGCCAUGGGGAAUCACUGGCAAAUUCUUAGCUCCAACUAAUUUAUAUUACUGUGGCUUAAUUUGGGUAUUAAAAAAGAAAAGUAAGAGUUGGAGGGAGGGAUAAAUAGGUGGAACACAGAAGAUUUUGGGGGCAGUGAAACUGUUCUGUAUUAUCCUGUAAUGGUGGAUACAUAACAUUAUGCAUUUGACAAAACCCACAGGACUAUACAACAGAAAGAGUGAACCCUAAUGUAGACUAUUGACUUUAGUUAAUGAUAUAUCAAUAUCAGUUCAUCAGUUGUAACAAAUGUACCACCUCAAUGCGUUAUGUUAAUAAUAAUAGAGGAAACUGUGGUUAGGGGGCAGGAGUGAGAGUGUAUGGGAACUCUGUACUUCCUGUUCAACUUUUCUGUAAACCUAAAACUGCUCUAAGAAAUAAAGUUUAUGAACCUU